UACGUAGGUGGCAAGCGUUGUCCGGAUUUACUGGGCGUAAAGAGCGCGCAGGCGGCUCGGUAAGUCUGCUGUGAAAUCUCCCGGCUUAACUGGGAGGGGUCAGCAGAUACUGUCGGGCUUGAGGCAGGUAGAGGAAGGUGGAAUUCCCGGUGUAGUGGUGAAAUGCGUAGAUAUCGGGAGGAACACCAGUGGCGAAGGCGGCCUUCUGGGCCUGUCCUGACGCUGAGGCGGCGAAAAGCGUGGGGAGCGAACAGG
rnacentral:rRNA from 1 species